AGAGUUUGAUCCUGGCUCAGAACGAACGCUGGCGGCAGGCCUAACACAUGCAAGUCGAAACGUGAAGCCACCUUCGGGUGGUGGAAAGUGGCAGACGGGUGAGUAACGCGUGGGAACGUGCCUUUCGGUUCGGGAUAACCCAGGGAAACUUGGGCUAAUACCGGAUACGCCCUUCGGGGGAAAGAUUCAUUGCCGAAAGAUCGGCCCGCGUCGGAUUAGCUAGUUGGUGGGGUAAAAGCCUACCAAGGCGACGAUCCGUAGCUGGUCUGAGAGGAUGACCAGCCACACUGGGACUGAGACACGGCCCAGACUCCUACGGGAGGCAGCAGUGGGGAAUAUUGGACAAUGGGCGCAAGCCUGAUCCAGCCAUGCCGCGUGGGUGAAGAAGGCCCUAGGGUUGUAAACCCCUUUCAGCGGGGAAGAUAAUGACG
rnacentral:rRNA from 1 species